UCUAUCACGGCCAUAUAUCUGGACAGAUUCAGACAACCAUCCAGUGUGCUUGCUGUCCUCCGAAGAGCUUCUCUGCUGUCAGAAUUCAGUUCUGUUGGACACCGCUGUCGACAUGAUGAUCAGAAUUGUGCUUGGAGUCAUUGCAGCGAUUGGAUUCCUCACUCUCAGUAAGUCUACAGAGAAAUAGGUGAAGCCCUGACAUGUAAUUCCUGCAAAGUGGGCAUUCUAGGCAAAUGUUUAUUUAGUUCCCAAGUGUCCUGCGCUGCCUCUGAGACCAACUGCUACACUGCCAAAGCAGAGUUCAAUGUGACUGGGUUUUUGAGCCUGUCCUCCAGUGGGUGCACAUCUGAUUGCAACAACACCGCCGGAAGCAUCCUGGGUGCGGGAUACACCGUGACUAAAAGCUGCUGCGCUGUAAAUCUGUGCAACGGAGCGAGUGCUGCGCAGCUGUCUGUGGCUGGGGCUCUCAGCGCCGCACUGUCGGCCUCCGUCUGGAGCAGCUACACGCUGUAGAUGUCUGUGCAGUGUUAUGUUCACAGUACCUGAACCGGAAUCAAUGAAGAUAUCAACUCUAGAAUGUGUAGAUCCCAUAAAUUUAAUUUGUUUACUCCACUGUGUUUAUUUGUCCCAUUGCAUAUAUGCAAUGAUAAAGUUUUUUUUUUUUAAUAUAUGUAUAAACAUUUACUUACAAUGUAAAAUAUCAAAACUUAUUUGUAUUAUUAUUAUAAAACCUACAUUUGGAUGCACACUGUGGAAUAAGGUGAUGAUAUAUUAGAGGUGGAACUGAAUAAAUUUCACAGCAGUGACUCUGGGUUAGAUACUGUACUCGCUUUGGAUUUUUUUAUAUCUUUUAGUAAAUGACAGAGUUGACAGAGAAUAUAUACAAAGUCAACUAUCACCUGACUUUUAUAUAUUUUAGCACAUUGUAACAUUAGACUAGAUUAAUAAAUAUGAACUCAAAAAAAAAAUUCCGUUAUGUUUUUGUUAGUAUUAACUAGUGCUGUCAAGCAAUUAAUCGCGUUAAUCACAUCAAAAAUAAUUUUUUUUGUUUACAUAAUAUAUGUACUGCUUAUUUAUAUAUAUAUAUAUAUACACACACACACACACACACACAGUAUAUAUUUAUAUAUAAAUAAUAUUUAAACUAUAUUUUUCUAAAAUAUAUACAUGCAUGUUUUUGUAUUUAAAUAUACAUAAAUUUACACAGCAUGCACACACUAUGUACACAAAAACUUUUAUUUUGGAUGCGAUUUAAUCGCAAUUAAUCAUUUGACAGCACUAGUAUUAACUGUUCCCAAAUGUAACCUUAUUUUAUUAUUUUACCAUUAAACAAACUUAAUGCCA
ensembl:lncRNA